rnacentral:rRNA from 1 species
UAAAGAGGUCCCAAGCGUUGUUCGGAUUCACUGGGCGUAAAGGGUGCGUAGGUGGCCGGGAAAGUUCGGUGUGAAAGCUCGGAGCUCAACUCCGAAAUGGCAUUGAAUACUAUCUGGCUGGAGGGUCGGAGGGGAGACUGGAAUUCUCGGUGUAGCAGUGAAAUGCGUAGAUAUCGAGAGGAACACCAGUGGCGAAGGCGAGUCUCUGGACGACUCCUGACACUGAGGCACGAAAGCCAGGGGAGCAAACAGG